AAAAAAUGUUCAAAGAUUUCCCAAAAAUGUGGGGUCAUUCUCGUUAAAUUCUCAGAGGUUUCUCUGACAAACUCCAUGUUCAUUAAGUUUUUUCUUAUCUAAUUCUACCAGACUUUAUUUACAGUUCCUUCCUACUGAGGACUCUGAUCAGUUUUAAUCAAUAACUUGAAUCUCUCUGAAGUGAUAAAAUAUUCCAUAAGAGCAGCUUUUCCUCCAGAGUUUCCACAAAGUCGCGAUCGAGUCGAAACCUAGUCCAGAGUUAGCCUAGAGUCCAGAGUCAAAAUCAAUGAGUUGAGUCAAAUCCAGAGUCUCGAGUUAAAAACAAGUCCGUGGGUUAUAACUAGUCAACACAUAAACAAAACAGUCAAAUGUAGAAAGUCAUGGGUAAAACCAAGCCCCAGAGUAAAAACCAACAAGUGAAAAUCAACGAGUCAAACCUAGUCAAUAAGUAAAGAACAGAGUCCAGAGUCAACGUCAACAAGUCAGCCUAUCAUGAGUCAAAACCAGUGAGUCAUGGUUCAUGAGGUAAAACCAGUGGGUCAUGAGGUAAAACCGGUGGGUCAUGAGGUAAAACCAUUGGGUCAUGAGGUAAAACCGGUGGGUCAUGAGAUAAAACCAUUGGGUCAUGAGGUAAAACCGGUGGGUCAUGAGGUAAAACCAUUGGGUCAUGAGGUAAAACCAUUGGGUCAUGAGGUAAAACCAUUGGGUCAUGAGGUAAAACCGGUGGGUCAUGAGGUAAAACCAUUGGGUCAUGAGGUAAAACCAUUGGGUCAUGAGGUAAAACCAUUGGGUCAUGAGGUAAAACCGGUGGGUCAUGAGGUAAAACCAUUGGGUCAUGAGGUAAAACCGGUGGGUCAUGAGAUAAAACCGGUGGGUCAUGAGGUAAAACCGGUGGGUCAUGAGGUAAAACCAUUGGGUCAUGAGGUAAAACCAUUGGGUCAUGAGAUAAAACCAUUGGGUCAUGAGAUAAAACCGGUGGGUCAUGAGGUAAAACCAUUGGGUCAUGAGGUAAAACCAUUGGGUCAUGAGGUAAAACCGGUGGGUCAUGAGGUAAAACCAGUGAGUCAUGAGGUAAAGCCAGUGAGUCAUGAGGUAAAACAAUUGAGUCUUGAGGUAAAACCAGUGGGUCAUGAGUUAAAACCAGUGGGUCAACAGGUCAUGACUAGAAUCAGACGUGUGGUUGGUGAACAGAGAGGACAGGAAGCAGCUCUUCAU